rnacentral:rRNA from 1 species
UACAGAGGUCUCAAGCGUUGUUCGGAUUCAUUGGGCGUAAAGGGUGCGUAGGCGGCGCGGUAAGUCGGGUGUGAAAUUUCGAGGCUUAACUUCGAAACUGCAUUCGAUACUGCCGUGCUUGAGGACUGGAGAGGAGACUGGAAUUUACGGUGUAGCGGUGAAAUGCGUAGAUAUCUGGAGGAACACCGGUGGCGAAGGCGGCAUCCUGGACCAAUAUUGACGCUGAGGAGCGAAAGCUAGGGGAGCAAACGGG